GAAAACCUACAUCUGUAACUUACACGUUCAUAUUACGAAGGGAAAUGUGGCUGACAAAUAUUUACACUAAAAAGACUCCACAUUUUUAUGCCUCGUCUAGUUACACUCCCAGCUGUGCCUGGCUAUGACUAGUUGUGCAUUCUAGAGCUCUUUAGAGCUACUUCAGAGUUGCAGGAUAAAGAUUUCUAGGGAAGAGGGCAGGGCCAGGCGCCCGGAGGAUUUCCAGCCACGGGUAGUUUACCGAGAGAAAAAGCUGCGGGCGUCGCUCCCUCUUUUACAUAAGAAAGGCUAAGCUCUAAAAGGCAGACAACUUCUUCCUGGCCCUUCGGAGAAGCUAGCCCUUGGAACCUAGGCCCUGAGUCGUGAGGAAGAGGAAAGACUACAUGGGGUCACUAUGUAAGGUGUUCCUGGUGACAGCUCCUGCUGAGGACCCAGCUGACAGCAAGCACCAACCUCCAGACAAGGAGAAGAACAUAAUAUAGCGCUCAUCGUUUCAUUUCUCUACCCACGAUCUUGCAAUGUUUUUCCUCUGCCAACAAGGAAAGAAAAUGGAGCUAUUCCUUUACUGAGCACCUACUAUGUGUCUGAUAGGUGCUUUCCCGUAAGUUAUUCUUUUACUCUUUAAAGCAGGGGUGUGUAAUCUUUUGUCUUCCCUAGGCCAUAUUGGAAGAAGAAGAAUUGUCUUGGGCCACACAUAAAAUACACUAACACUAACGAUAGCUGAUGAGCUGAAAAAAAAUUGCAAAACAAAUCUCCUAAUGUUUU
rnacentral:lncRNA from 10 species